GACAGAGACCUCAAGCGUUAUCCGGAAUCAUUGGGCGUAAAGGGUGCGUAGGUGGAAUUGUGAGUCUCGCGUUAAACCUUUGGGCUUAACCCAAAAUCUGCGCGAGAUACCGCAAUACUAGAGUAUGCAAGAGGUACAUGGAACUCAUGGUGUAGGGGUGAAAUCCGUUGAUAUCAUGGGGAACACCAAAGGCGAAGGCAGUGUACUGGUGCAUUACUGACACUCAAGCACGAAAGCGUGGGGAGCGAAC
rnacentral:rRNA from 1 species